rnacentral:lncRNA from 1 species
AACCAAUCAACGAUCGUCUACGUAUCUCGCUUCUUCGUUCUGCCUACGCUAGUGCUGCUGUGUGGCCAAAUCAGGGGAUUUCAGAAGAUGAGGGUUGAUGGCUUGGGAUGACUCACCACAUCGUCAUCGUUCCAGCUGCGCGUCAUGUGGCAGACUGUACGGAUAUCUUGGUUCACAAAAAUCUAUGUAGAUUAUACACUACCAUGAACAGUGAAAUAAAUAUAUUUUCUUUAUUA